GACGAACGCUGGCGGCGUGCUUAACACAUGCAAGUCGAGCGGUAAGGCCCUUUCGGGGGUACACGAGCGGCGAACGGGUGAGUAACACGUGGGUGACCUGCCCUUAGCUCUGGGAUAAGCCUGGGAAACUGGGUCUAAUACCGGAUAUGACUCCAUGACGCAUGUUGUGGGGUGGAAAGCCUUGUGCGGCUAGGGAUGGGCCUGCGGCCUAUCAGCUUGUUGGUGGGGUGAUGGCCUACCAAGGCGACGACGGGUAGCCGGCCUGAGAGGGCGACCGGCCACACUGGGACUGAGACACGACCCAGACUCCUACGGGAGGCAGCAGUGGGGAAUCUUGCGCAAUGGGCGAAAGCCUGACGCAGCGACGCCGCGUGGGGAUGACGGCCU
rnacentral:rRNA from 1 species